CCCUGCCAAGGGCCUGUCCUCGGCCAGGUAAGGGCGAGCACCUCCCGCAGGGAAGGGCCGCGGCCUCCACGCAGGUCGGAGCCCCCGAGGCUAUGUUUCUGGGGUCCGUGGGCUCGGGGGCUGGGGCGGCGCUCCGGGACCCUCCCCGAAGCCACGCCGGGCAGGGCUGCACCGCCUUCUCGCGGCGAGGGAGGAGCGGGCGGGCCGGAAGCCGCGGCGCCGGGCCUCACCUGCGCCCCACCUGGGCCCGGCCCCGUCCCCGGCCCCGGCCGCGGCGCCGGCCCCGCCGCCUUCGAGGAACGCGCGCGCCGGGGCCGCCGGGCGCAGACGCGGGGCCGGGGCUGCCUGCGGGGCCGCGACCCCGCGCGGCCAGGUGACCGCCUGCCGUCCGCGCGGCGCCCCUGCCCGGGAGCCCGGCGCCGGCGCGGCCUGCACCCUCCGGCCCGCCCCCCUCCCCUGCGCGGCGGCGCCCCGGGCCCCCGCCGCCCCCGCCCCGGCGCCCGGCCCGCCCGCCCCGCCUCGCGUCCCGGGGGAGGGGGCGGCGAGGUCCUGGCGCGCCCCGCCCCUCGGGCCCAGGCGGAGGGGACGGGCGGCCCGGCCGCGCCUCCCCGCCGCCCGCCGCCCACCGCCGCCCCUCGUCCCCGGCCCCGGCCCCGGCGCGGCGGGCGCGCGCGGGAGGGCGGGGCGCGCGGGGCGGGGCGACCCCCCAGGCGCCCCCUCCCCGGACCUACCGGCGGCGGCGGGAGGCGGCGGCCGCGCUCCGGAAGCCGUGCCCGGUGGCUGGGCAUCAUGGGAAUGGCACGGCCGAGUUCCGGGGGAGGCGCGCGGCCCGGCCGGACCCCCGCCCGGCGAGCGCGCGCCCACCUGCCGGCCGCGCUGCGGAGGAGCCGCGGGCGCCGGGCGCCUCCCCCGCGACCCGCGACCCGCGGCCCGCCCUCCGCCCGGGGGCGGCGCCAGCCUCCGGGGACGCGCCGCCCCUCCCCAGACUCGCACGGGGACCCCAGAAAUGCUCCUGCUGCAGUCGGUGAAUUACUUGUUGGCGUGAUGCCUGACUCCCACCCCACCCCCUGCAGGAGGCGGGGACCCUGGGGUCCUGUUGACCGCCCCGUGCCCGGGGCUGGAUCUGCGCCCCUCGCAGAGGGGCGCGCUGAGUGCCUCUCUGCAAGGCCUCUCCUUCACUCAGCAAAGCAAAAAGCCCUAAACGGCCAACCGGAGGGGACAGUGAAACAAAUGAUGGGGUGCCGUCCUGCAAAGCCUCUUUGGAAAGGAUGAGGUGGGCACGGGAGCAGGUCAGUGUGAAGCCUCAUCCUCAUGUGCUUUCACACGCGGGUGGCGGGCGUGGCAGAUAACCCGCUGCGGGCAGAGCGGAUGUGCAGGUUUGUUUUUUCCUCCUGGACCUUCGAGCAGCCGUUAGCUGCGCGAUUCCCUCUGGGGAGCGGCCUGGGGUGGGGGGCCAGCAAGGAGAUCCUCGUCGUUCCUGCUGGCUUCUUUAUACUCUUUCAGUUUUUAAAUCACGAGCCUUGCUUUCAUAUAUAAAAAAAUUAACUCAUGAACUAUAUAAUGGAAAUGUCUGAACGUUCACGUAUGCAAAUGCAGUCGUGUCCAUACCCUCCCCAGGGCCAGGCCCAGGUCACUGCCGACUCGAUUCAAUGUUUGCGAAUUCUGUUUUUGCAAAACAGUUUUUAAAUGACCUUUCACGGCCUUAUUCAGUUUUGUUUCUUGAGUGUCAGGUUCUCAGAAUUCUCCUGGCACGAACUUUACCCACUUUGUCACUUAGCAUUUCAGGGCACAGCUUGGCUUUAAGGUAGUCUGUUUAUAAGGUGGCAUUCUAAACUGGAGCACAAAAGAAGCCUCUUGAGGUGAAAUUAUUGAGGAGGGCCCAGUGUGCGUCAUGAAUGGAAAAUGAGGACACGUCGCCUCAGAUUUAUUCAAAAAAGAGUGGGAUAUUUUCCAAUGCAAGAUUUAAGGGAAAAAUAAUUUUCUCUGGUUCUUUGCAGAAAAGCAAUUAGACAAAGGCCCUUAUUCUUAUUAAGCAAUUUUGGGAAGUUUGCUCCUGUCCUUGGAGAGCCCAGUGGUACCUGGGGGUGGCACCCGGAGGUGACCGGGACUGGGGGCUCAGGGCUGGGAUGGUGGGGCCCCCCUUCCAAGGUGGGACAAACAUAUGGAGAAAAGGCAAGAGCGACAAAAGGCCAGCAGAGACGGGGCACCUUAGGCCCUGCUGAGCUCGGGGACAGGAGCCUCACCUCAGGUCAGUCCUGCACAGACUUGAGAG
rnacentral:lncRNA from 1 species